UUUUAACAUGAUAUUUGAGUUUGUUUGGAGGAUAAGUUGUUAAAUAUGAAAAUAUUUAAAUAUCGUUCCUUACAACUUUAAUUUUUAUAGAAUAAUGAUUGUUUUGUAAAUAUUAAUAUGAUAUCAUAACAGAAGAUUCUGAGUUCGAAUCACGUUAGACGCCUAGCAUUAUUAAUUUUCUCUCAUUUAAUUCAAAUCUACAUCAUAGAUCUAACGAGAAAUCUCGAGUUCAUGUGUGAGGAGGAGUGCUAAAUAUAAAAAUAUAUAAACACUGUUCCCUACCAGCUAAAAUUUUUUUAGGGAACAACUGUUAUUUCAUAUUACUUAACAACUUUUGAAUAUUAAAAGUAGAAGAUUUGAGAUUUCUUUAUUUUUUAACAUAUUGUUUUCUACUGGCUUAAACUUUUAGAGAAUAAUAGUUAUUUUAUAUUAUUUACCACUUUUUGAAUAUAAAAA
rnacentral:lncRNA from 1 species